CAGAAUAAACCUGAUGAGCUGUUGCUGGCGCACUCUUGUGAGCAAGUGCACGCUUGUCAUUUUUAUCUUACCACCAUGUGCACUCUGCAUAGGUCUGAAGGUUCAUUUAUUCAAUCAGAGCUUGCUUUGAUUGUUUUGGAAUCUGCCAUUGAUGUAAUGGCUUUUUCUGACUUCAGUGCUUAUGAUUUAUUUAAUACACCAAUGUAUGUUUGAAGAACGCUCUACUAGGCCGAAAAGCCUAUAAAUUUAUAAUA
rnacentral:misc_RNA from 1 species